rnacentral:rRNA from 1 species
UUAGUGGCGGACGGGUGAGUAACGCGUGGGUAACCUGCCUUGUACUGGGGGACAACAGUUGGAAACGACUGCUAAUACCGCAUAAGCGCACGAGCUUCGCAUGAAGCAGUGUGAAAAACUCCGGUGGUACAAGAUGGACCCGCGUCUGAUUAGCUGGUUGGUGAGGUAACGGCCCACCAAGGCGACGAUCAGUAGCCGGCCUGAGAGGGUGAACGGCCACAUUGGGACUGAGACACGGCCCAAACUCCUACGGGAGGCAGCAUG